rnacentral:rRNA from 1 species
UGGCGGCGUGCUAACACAUGCAAGUCGCACGAGAACGUUUCAGCUUGCUGAAACUAGUAAAGUGGCGCACGGGUGAGUAACGCGUGGGUAAUCUACCUCCGAAUUGGGGAUAACAUUGCGAAAGCGAUGCUAAUACCGAAUAACAUCUCAACAACUUCAGUUUUUGAGAUCAAAGGUGGCCUCUCCAUGGAAGCUUCUGUUUGGAGAUGAGCCCGCGUACCAUUAGCUUGUUGGUAGGGUAAUGGCCUACCAAGGCAACGAUGGUUAGCUGGUCUGAGAGGAUGAUCAGCCACACUGGAACUGAAACACGGUCCAGACUCCUACGGGAGGCAGCAGUGAGGAAUUUUGCGCAAUGGGGGAAACCCUGACGCAGCAACGCCGCGUGAGUGAUGAAGGCUUUCGGGUCGUAAAGCUCUGUCAAGUGGGAAGAACCUGCCUUUUGCUAAUAUCAAUCGGCACUGACGGUACCACUGAAGGAAGCACCGGCUAACUCCGUGCCAGCAGCCGCGGUAAUACGGGGGGUGCAAGCGUUAUUCGGAAUCACUGGGCGUAAAGAGCGCGUAGGCGGUUUUUUAAGUCAGAUGUGAAAGCCCGGGGCUCAACCCUGGAAGUGCAUUUGAAACUAAAAGACUUGAGUAUGGGAGAGGGAAGUGGAAUUCCUGGUGUAGCGGUGAAAUGCGUAGAUAUCAGGAGGAACACCGGUGGCGAAGGCGACUUCCUGGACCAAUACUGACGCUGAGGCGCGAAGGCGUGGGGAGCAAACAGGAUUAGAUACCCUGGUAGUCCACGCAGUAAACGUUGAACACUAGGUGUAGCGGGUAUUGACCCCUGCUGUGCCGCAGCUAACGCAUUAAGUGUUCCGCCUGGGGGAGUACGGCCGCAAGGCUAAAACUCAAAGGAAUUGACGGGGGGCCCGCACAAGCGG